ACCUGAGUGGCUCAGUCAGUUAAGCGUCUGACUUCGGCUCAGGUCAUGAUCUCAUGGCUUGUGGGUUCGAGCCCCAUGUCGGGCU
rnacentral:tRNA from 1 species